AUUGAACGCUGGCGGCAGGCCUAACACAUGCAAGUCGAACGGUAACAGGAAGAAGCUUGCUUCUUUGCUGACGAGUGGCGGACGGGUGAGUAAUGUCUGGGAAACUGCCUGAUGGAGGGGGAUAACUACUGGAAACGGUAGCUAAUACCGCAUAACGUCGCAAGACCAAAGAGGGGGACCUUCGGGCCUCUUGCCAUCGGAUGUGCCCAGAUGGGAUUAGCUAGUAGGUGGGGUAACGGCUCACCUAGGCGACGAUCCCUAGCUGGUCUGAGAGGAUGACCAGCCACACUGGAACUGAGGCACGGUCCAGACUCCUACGGGAGGCAGCAGUGGGGAAUAUUGCACAAUGGGCGCAAGCCUGAUGCAGCCAUGCCGCGUGUAUGAAGAAGGCCUUCGGGUUGUAAAGUACUUUCAGCGGGGAGGAAGGGAGUAAAGUUAAUACCUUUACUCAUUGACGUUACCCGCAGAAGAAGCACCGGCUAACUCCGUG
rnacentral:rRNA from 1 species